rnacentral:rRNA from 1 species
GGAGCUUGCUCCUUUGACGUUAGCGGCGGACGGGUGAGUAACACGUGGGCAACCUACCUUAUAGUUUGGGAUAACUCCGGGAAACCGGGGCUAAUACCGAAUAAUCUGUUUCACCUCAUGGUGAAAUAUUGAAAGACGGUUUCGGCUGUCGCUAUAGGAUGGGCCCGCGGCGCAUUAGCUAGUUGGUGAGGUAACGGCUCACCAAGGCGACGAUGCGUAGCCGACCUGAGAGGGUGAUCGGCCACACUGGGACUGAGACACGGCCCAGACUCCUACGGGAGGCAGCAGUGGG